CUUAGCAAUAACGGAGAACUCGAUAUGGAAGUAUAAGAACAGACAACAUUGUAUCGUUCAAAACUGGGCAAGUUUCCCCCAUAAGGUGGCAUAAGGAACUCCUGACCUCUGCCUUACUGGAGAGCACACCCUGCCAUCAGAGUACAACUCAUCCUGGCAAACUAGAACUUUCUCUGAAUUCUCUUCAGCUCAGCUAACUUGCGAGCCACCGCCCUGCCACCUCGUCAGCCACAUGCAAAGUUGGCAGUCCCUCAUGGCUGCUCACUGCGGGUUCUUCCACACAUGGAGGACAUCCUUUGGUGCUCAGCAAAGCAGAAGAAAACAGGCCUAUUUCCUAAGGCUCUCCACAUGAGUACGUGUUGGACGAUCCCUUCCCAGAUGUCAGUGAACAGAUGAAUAUUUUAGACACUCAUCCCAAUUAACAUGCAGCCAGAACACCAGUGUGGUUGCUUGGAGGAAUCAGAUUAGAAAUGGAGACACACCUGCAGGAUUUGCACUCUAUUUAAAAAGAGUUAUCUUCCUGUGGGCUGGAUAUCUUCUCAUCUGUCGGAAGGACGGAUUUCCAUGUCCACAUGAAUGAAGACUGGUGUGAGAACCGUUGUUUUUCCUAUUUUUCCUAAAAGGAACAAAAAGAACAGAAGCCACUAAAGAGAAGAUAGACUAUAGACAAUAGAUGAGAAAUGACAUUCUGUAGGUAGUGUAAUGAUCUUUUAGUCGUAUUUUAAGAGCCAAGAGAUUAUCUACUUUUCUGUUACAUUGACAAAAAUAAAAAAGUGAAAAUAAAAUUUUGGUUUCU